CAACAACAAGGACUGGCAGCAGCGACCCGCCGUAGCAGAAAUUUAUAAAUGAAAAAAAUGGUAAGUAUAUAAAAAAACACAAGUGAAAAGUGAAAUAAGGAAAAUAUAUGUGACAAACUAAACUUCACGUCCUGUGCGAGACUAAAAAAAAAAUAAAAUAUGCUCACUGCCAAAGGCCUAAAAAUUUUUAUUCCCGUGUGUGUAAUUAUGAAUUGGGUAGCUCAUGCCGGCUAGUUACCCAAUGUAACGAAUCAACGCCGAAAAAUGUAAAAUGUAUUAAAAAAAGUCGUUUAUGUGGUAAUAUGUGAGAAGUUCGCCCCAGUUCCUUAGCAAAAAGUUCAUUGGCAAAUUUGCAAUAAUCGCCGGUUGUGCCCAAAAUUAUAACAACAAAAUUUACAAACCCAAUACAAAAAUGUUGUUCGGGUGUUUGCGACUAAAAUCAUCAUUCGACCAACGUUUAGCAACAAAAAAAAAAUAAAUCAUAAUGAAAAAUCAGCACAUCGUUGAGAAAUAAAAAGUGUUUGUGUGUUCAUACAUACAUAACUGGGAUGUAAAUUCUCCACAUGAAAUCACAAUUCGUAUGGUCUAAAAAUUGGUUCCCUGUGCCAAAAUGUGUGAGUGCCAGUGUGUUUGUGUAUAUAAACAAAAUAUAAACUGUGAAUAAAAAAAAUAAUUCUAAAAUGAAAUCAUAAAUUUGUGAAUAAAAACAAAACUCCAACGAAAACCGAAAAUUAAAAUUUAAAAAUGUGAGAAAAACCCAAUUCAUGAAAUUUUAAAAGUUUACAAAAAAAAACGAAACGUAAUGCAACUUCACCCAAAAAAAUAAAAAUAAAGCGAAAUCCUAAAUAGGACGAAAUCUGAGUGAAUCAAAAUGAGACCAGAAAUUCCAAAGAAGAAAUAAAAUCAAAAAAGAAAAUAAUGAAACGAAUUUCCUCUUCUCUCCUUUCAGGUAUUACUGGCUUCACACGGAACUCGACCUGCCGGCUUCGCUUGAGACCAAGGGUGGUGCCAGCGGCGAUCAAAUGCUAGGAUGUGCCCAGGCAAAAUAACUCGAAGUGUCUAGUAGAUGUUACUGUAAUGAGGAUCUGUUGUACAUGAUCGACCUCUAUUGGUGGUGCAUCGACUUCGGGAACGUUCCACCUCUCUCGGGCCCGCCUGUAGAUUUCCCUGACAUCACGGACAUUUUGGCUUCACCACAUUUUCCAUUCCGCAUCCGUAACAAAAUAGGGCGCCCCGGUAGCUGAGUUGGUAGCGUGCUUGGAUUACCAGUGCAGCGGUCGUGAGUUAGAUUCCCGCCAGAAGCCUUGAUCUGUCGCUACUGUGACAAAAAAAAAAAAUCAAAUAUGAACCAGCUCUGGGUGGAGAUGGGCGGCCCACACGACCAUGGUAUCCGAUGUCCAACCUAUUUGGAUACCCCAGCAUCGUCCCACUCAUCCCCCUCUACAGCAUGGUGCACUACCCAUUUCCUACCUUAACAACUACUCCUCCAUUGUGGAAUGAGAACUAGCCGAAGAUGAAUUUCAUUUCAACGUUAUAAUGACAUGCAGUAGGGGCUCCUUUUCGCCCAAAAGCUAAAACUGCUACCCCCCUGGACCUAGGUCGAGCUCACCCUAACAGCUGAAGAAAACGCCUAUUUGCUCUCGCGUCGUUUACAAAAAACUAAAGGAAAGCAAACUGUCUUCAAGUCCUGUCCGCCCGUAGUAGUCUUCGUGUGUAUCCUGUAAAUGUACAUAAGAAGAAAGGGGUACUUGGUGCACUGUCGGCUGACCAGUGGCUGUGAUGUCAUCCAGAAGUCGGAUGUUCCCACUAUGGGCAGCGGAGGUGGACAAGCUUAUAUUUUGUCGUUUGGUUUUUGUGUUAUUUCAGUUUUUGGUUGUCUUCAUAGAUCUAAUAUUGUUGUCAUAGAUUUAAUUUUAGAUUUAAUAUUGUAGAUCAUAGAUUUUGUUUUAUUAGUAACCACUGGCUUCAACAAUUUUUCCUUUUUGGUUUAUUUUGUUUUAGCAACUUUUCUUCUCCUUCAGGAGAAUUUGCAGUUUUUUUACUAUUUUUAGGUUUUUGUACAAUUUUCCUUUUUUUUGGUUUUUAGCAAUAAUUUUCAGUUCUUUUUAAUUAUUUAAAAGUUUUUUGUAUAACUUCUUUCAUAUCAGAUUUUUAAUAAUUUUCCAUUUUUUCAGUUCUUCAAUUUGUUUAUUUCCUUAUUUAUUUUUCGAGAUUUAUUUACUUUUUAAGUUUUAUUUAUUUUGUUUAACAUUUAAGGCUCUCAAAU